GAUGAACGCUGGCGGCGUGCCUAAUACAUGCAAGUCGAGCGAACAGACGAGGAGCUUGCUCCUCUGACGUUAGCGGCGGACGGGUGAGUAACACGUGGAUAACCUACCUAUAAGACUGGGAUAACUUCGGGAAACCGGAGCUAAUACCGGAUAAUAUAUUGAACCGCAUGGUUCAAUAGUGAAAGACGGUUUUGCUGUCACUUAUAGAUGGAUCCGCGCCGCAUUAGCUAGUUGGUAAGGUAACGGCUUACCAAGGCAACGAUGCGUAGCCGACCUGAGAGGGUGAUCGCCCACACUGGAACUGAGACACGGUCCAGACUCCUACGGGAGGCAGCAGUAGGGAAUCUUCCGCAAUGGGCGAAAGCCUGGCGGAGCAACGCCGCGUGAGUGAUGAAGGUCUUCGGAUCGUAAAACUCUGUUAUUAGGGAAGAACAAAUGUGUAAGUAACUAUGCACGUCUUGACGGUACCUAAUCAGAAAGCCACGGCUAACUACGUG
rnacentral:rRNA from 1 species